GACCAAUUCUUAGAGGGGACUGUUUGGUCGAGGACCGAGCUGAGACAUGUAUACACAUCAUUUAGGAGAGGAUAAAUCAACUGUUCUAGACUAAUAUGACCCCAUUGAACAACUUGGGAUAUGUGCCAAAAUCUCUAUCUGGGACGAACAGCCCGAAAAUGACCGCGCCCUUUUUUGUCCGGCUUGUUACUUCAAAUACAGCUGUAUUUUCUAAACUGCAGUAGCUAUAGAUUUUCCAAGGCAUUAAAAAUAUUCAGAAUGG